AAAGUCUGCCAAGCAUGGCGGUGUAGGCGCUGAGAACCCAGCCAUUUAGAACCGGUGUAACUGCUCCCUCCUGGGAGACACUUUCGGCGAUACUUUGCGAGUCGAAGGAACUGAUUUCUAUCGGAUAUCAGGAAUAAAUAAGGAAAACGCUGAAUUUUUCAAACUUUCAAAGCUACCAUUGCAGAGGAAAGAGUGAAAAACGAGAGAACAAAAACAAUUGAUAGAAAUGCUUCGAUCCUGGACAAUGGAAUCCGAGAACGGGAGCUUUUCAAUGCGCAAUGGAGGGUUACAAUAGAAAUUUCGUAAUGAGAUACGCGAAUGUGUGUACGUAUACGAUGGGGAUCGAAGGUAAACGAGGAAAAUCCUGUUAGUCUCUGUCGAGCAAGGAUAUUGAAAAUCCUCGAAUGAAAGGUAGAACACGUAGAAUUUCGACGGGUAUAAUAUAUUGUUCUUUCAUUUAAUUUAUAACGAAUCGUCGAACGAACGUGUACCCUGGGUUAAUAAAAAUGAUUAAUGUGUUUAGAUAAAAAA